UAGAAUUUAUGGAAGAUGUCAUGUUCACCGCACUCAGAACUACAUCCACAGGGCAAAAGCAAUAUAAAUUUGCAUACACUGGCCCACCAACAUAUUAUAAUACUGUUCUAGGGGUACUGCCUCUAUAGUUGAGAAGGUAGUUCAGUCUUCAUGUUCAUUCAGUCUUUGGCCUCU
rnacentral:sRNA from 1 species